rfam:Angomonas deanei Cont6626, whole genome shotgun sequence.
GCCGACGUGGUGGAAUUGGUAGACACGCUAUCUUGAGGGGGUAGUGGCUUGAUUGCUGUGCGAGUUCGAGUCUCGCCGUCGGCA